CAGUCGCCGCGGGAAUACGUAGGGUGCGAGCGUUAAUCGGAAUUACUGGGCGUAAAGCGUGCGCAGGCGGUUGUGUAAGACAGGUGUGAAAUCCCCGGGCUUAACCUGGGAACUGCGCUUGUGACUGCACAGCUAGAGUAUGGCAGAGGGGGGCGGAAUUCCACGUGUAGCAGUGAGAUGCGUAGAGAUGUGGAGGAACACCGAUGGCGAAGGCAGCCCCCUGGGCCAAUACUGACACUCAUGCACGAAAGCGUGGGGAGCAAACAGGAUUAGAUACCCGGGUAGUCCCUGUCUCUUAUAA
rnacentral:rRNA from 1 species